rnacentral:rRNA from 1 species
GAUGAACGCUGGCGGCAUGCCUAAUACGUGCAAGUCGAACGGACUAAAGAGAAAAGCUUGCUUUUUUGGAAGUCAGUGGCGAACGGGUGAGUAACACGUAGGUAACCUGCCCAUGUGCCCGGGAUAAUUUCUGGAAACGGAAACUAAAACCGGAUAGGUAGGGAUCUCGCAUGAGGACCUUAUUAAAGGGGCUGCGGCCCUGAACAUGGAUGGACCUGCGGUGCAUUAGCUGGUUGGUGGGGUAACGGCCUACCAAGGCGACGAUGCAUAGCCGACCUGAGAGGGCGAACGGCCACAUUGGGGACUGAGACACGGCCCAAACUCCUACGGGAGGCAGCAGUAGGGAAUUUUUCGUCAAUGGGGGGAACCCUGAACGAGCAAUGCCGCGUGAGUGAAGACGGUUUUCGGACUGUAAAGCUCUGUUGUAAGAGAAAAACGGCGACAUAGGGAAUGAUGUCGGAGUGAU